GAGAUCACUUUGGCAGCACAUAUACUAAAACUGGAAUGAUACAGAGAAGAUUAGCAUGGCCCCUGUGCAAGGUAAUCAUUAAAGUACAACUAAAAACCUUACUAAAUAUU